UAGGGAAUCUUCGGCAAUGGACGAAAGUCUGACCGAGCAACGCCGCGUGAGUGAAGAAGGUUUUCGGAUCGUAAAACUCUUUUGUUCGAGAAGAACAAGGACGUUAGUAACUGAACGUCCCCUGACGGUAUCUAACCAGAAAGCCACGGCUAACUACGUGCCAGCAGCCGCGGUAUUACGUAGGUGGCAAGCGUUGACCGGAUUUAUUGGGCGUAAAGCGAGCGCAGGCGGUUUCUUAAGUCUGAUGUGAAAGCCCCCGGCUCAACCGGGGAGGGUCAUUGGAAACUGGGAGACUUGAGUGCAGAAGAGGAGAGUGGAAUUCCAUGUGUAGCGGUGAAAUGCGUAGAUAUAUGGAGGAACACCAGUGGCGAAGGCGGCUCUCUGGUCUGUAACUGACGCUGAGGCUCGAAAGCGUGGGGAGCAAACAGG
rnacentral:rRNA from 1 species